CCCCUAGAUGUUCUGGGCCGCACGCGCGCUACACUGAACAGUUCAACAAGUCUUAACCUUGGCCGAUAGGUCUGGGUAAUCUUUGAACGCUGUUCGUGAUUGGGAUAGACCUUUGCAAUUAUGGGUCUUCAACGAGGAAUUCCUAGUAAACGCAAGUCAUCAGCUUGCAUUGAUUACGUCCCUGCCCUUUGUACACACCGCCCGUCGCACCUACCGAUUGAAUGGUCCGGUGAAAUCUCGGGACGGCGGCUUGGUCGCUUGCGUCCGACUGCUGAAACUUGAUUAAACCAUAUCAUUUAGAGGAAGGUGAAGUCGNAACA
rnacentral:rRNA from 1 species